rnacentral:pre_miRNA from 1 species
AGGAUCAACGGCAGUGGCGGCGGCAGCUCUGGAGCCCUGGAUUCAGCCCCCGCAGUAACUCCGGAGCUCUCCGUCUGCAGGGCCUGGAGGCUCCGGGGUGGG